UGGCUCUCGCAUCGAUGAAGAACGCAGCGAAAUGCGAUAAGUAAUGUGAAUUGCAGAAUUCAGUGAAUCAUCGAAUCUUUGAACGCACCUUGCACCCUUUGGUAUUCCGAAGGGUAUGCUCGUUUGAGUGUCAUUGUAAUCUCACACCUAAGACUCUUUUGUCAAGGGAGGUGGACUUGGAGCUUUGCUGAUGAAAAUCGGCUGCUCUCAAAUGCGUUAGUGUGGCUUAGGUCUAGGCGCUUGAUGCCCGGUGUAAUAAGUGUUUCGCCGUGGUUAGUCUUAACUGUAGCUUCAUGCUUCUAACCGUCUCUUGACCGAGACUAUUGCGCAAGCGGUACAUUGACAAUUUGACCUCAAAUCGAGUAGGACUACCCGCUGA
rnacentral:misc_RNA from 1 species